UAGCGUAGGGUGCAAGCGUUAAUCGGAAUUACUGGGCGUAAAGCGUGCGCAGGCGGUUUUGUAAGUCUGUCGUGAAAGCCCCGGGCUCAACCUGGGAAUUGCGAUGGAGACUGCAAGGCUUGAAUCUGGCAGAGGGGGGUAGAAUUCCGACGUGUAGCAGUGAAAUGCGUAGAGAUGUGGAGGAACACCGAUGGCGAAGGCAGCCCCCUGGGUCAAGCAUUGGACGCUCAUGCACGAAAGCGUGGGGAGCAAACAGG
rnacentral:rRNA from 1 species